rnacentral:ncRNA from 1 species
ACGCGGGGACGACCCCGCACAUCACGUCGGUUUUUUGUCCGGGACGACCCGA